rnacentral:sRNA from 1 species
GACUAACUCUGAUGGAAGUGGUAUCUUUUUCUAAAAUUCAUUUUUAGAAAAAAUAUAACGUACAGCAGGAAAAUGG